rnacentral:rRNA from 1 species
GAUGAACGCUGGCGGCGUGCCUAAUACAUGCAAGUCGAGCGAACCGACUAGAAGCUUGCUUCUCUGAUGUUAGCGGCGGACGGGUGAGUAACACGUGGAUAACCUACCUAUAAGACUGGGAUAACUUCGGGAAACCGUAGCUAAUACCGGAUAAUAUUUUGAACCGCAUGGUUCAAAAGUGAAAGACGGUCUUGCUGUCACUUAUAGAUAGAUCCGCGCUGCAUUAGCUAGUUGGUAAGGUAACGGCUUACCAAGGCAACGAUGCAUAGCCGACCUGGGAGGGUGAUCGGCCACACUGGAACUGAGACACGGUCCAGACUCCUCCGGGAGGCAGCAGUAGGGAAGCUUCCGCAAUGGGCGGAAGCCUGACGGAGCAACGCCGCGUGAGUGAUGAAGGUCUUCGGGUCGUAAAACUCUGUUAUGAGGGAAGAACAUAUGUGUAAGUAACUGUGCACAUCUUGACGGUACCUAAUCAGAAAGCCACGGCUAACUACGUG